rnacentral:tRNA from 1 species
UGCGGGUGUAGCUCAAUGGUAGAGUUCUGGCCUUCCAAGCCAGCUGUGGGUUCGAGCCCCACCCUUGGAGCCA